UACAGAGGGUGCAAGCGUUGUUCGGAAUUAUUGGGCGUAAAGCGCGUGUAGGCGGCCUGGCAAGUCGGGUGUGAAAGCCCUCAGCUCAACUGAGGAAGUGCGCCCGAAACUGCUUGGGCUUGAGUGCCGGAGAGGGUGGCGGAAUUCCCCAAGUAGAGGUGAAAUUCGUAGAUAUGGGGAGGAACACCGGUGGCGAAGGCGGCCACCUGGACGGCAACUGACGCUGAGACGCGAAAGCGUGGGGAGCAAACAGGAUUAGAAACCCCAGUAGUCC
rnacentral:rRNA from 1 species